rnacentral:rRNA from 1 species
AUUGAACGCUGGCGGAAUGCUUUACACAUACAAGUCGAACGGCAGCACGGACUUCGGUCUGGUGGCGAGUGGCGAACGGGUGAGUAAUGUAUCGGAACGUGCCCAGUCGUGGGGGAUAACGUAGUGAAAAUUACGCUAAUACCGCAUACGAUCUAUGGAUGAAAGCGGGGGAUCGCAAGACCUCGCGCGAUUGGAGCGGCCGAUAUCAGAUUAGGUAGUUGGUGGGGUAAAGGCCCACCAAGCCAACGAUCUGUAGCUGGUCUGAGAGGACGACCAGCCACACUGGAACUGGGACACGGUCCAGACUCCUACGGGAGGCAGCAGUGGGGAAUUUUGGACAAUGGGCGAAAGCCUGAUCCAGCCAUUCCGCGUGCGGGAUGAAGGCCCUCGGGUUGUAAACUGCUUUUGUACAGAACGAAAGGGUUUCUACUAAUACUAGGAGCUCAUGACGGUACUGUAAGAAUAAGCACCGGCUAACUACGUGCCAGCCACCGCCGUAA